AUUGAACGCUGGCGGCAGGCCUAACACAUGCAAGUCGAGCGGUAACAGGUCUAGCUUGCUAGAUGCUGACGAGCAGCGGACGGGUGAGUAACGCGUGGGAAUCUGCCCGAUAGUGGGGGAUAGCCCGGGGAAACUCGGAUUAAUACCGCAUAAUAUCUACGGAUCAAAGGGGGCCUCUACUUGUAAGCUCUUGCUAUCGGAUGAGCCCGCGUUAGAUUAGCUAGUUGGUGGGGUAAAGGCCUACCAAGGCGACGAUCUAUAGCUGGUCUGAGAGGAUGAUCAGCCACACUGGGACUGAGACACGGCCCAGACUCCUACGGGAGGCAGCAGUGGGGAAUAUUGCACAAUGGGCGCAAGCCUGAUGCAGCCAUGCCGCGUGUGUGAAGAAGGCUCUAGGGUUGUAAAGCACUUUAAGCUGGGAGGAAGGCCUAAUAGUUAAUACCUGUUAGGAUUGACGUUACCAGCAGAAUAAGCACCGG
rnacentral:rRNA from 1 species